AAUCAAUGGCUGGUCAGUCAGGUUCUGAGGCCGGCCUCUCAGGUGAGGAGAUAGGUAUUUAUUUAAAUAUACAUUAAGUCGGGCACUUAAAGCCCGAAACUCAGAACCGUGGUGGAUUCACCCUAGGAUGGAGGACGCAGCGCUGCGAUUUCUGGGGAUUCUGAUGCAAACGCAGUUGGUAAGGCCUGAGUCCGAGUUACUGGGCUUUGACAGAGGGGAGGGUUGAAGAAGACCCUCGAAGCUCAAAGUCUGGUUAAGCGGAAUUGCCAGAAAGGCUGGUCCACAUCCCAGUGUUGUAGGGGAAAGGCAGACUGUUCAGUCGUCCCCGGGACCUGAGGCAACAAGGCCUGAAGGAAGGGGGUGGGGGGCAGCCAGAUCUGCCAGGAGGGAGGCAGGACCACACGCGCAGCACACACCCCGAAAGCACCAGUGAUGAAACCACACUCGUUUCCUCUUCCAUUUUGAUUGCCAAAGCAAAAAAGAAAACGAGCCGCCUGCUCUCUCAGGUGUGAAAAAAGACUGUUGGCUUCAGAACAUUUUGCUUUGAAUGAGGAAGGAAAGGGGAACACAAGAAAAAAAAAAUUCCUUUGAAACAAAUAUAUCAAUGUCAUUUUUUUUCUUUCUGCUCUUGAAGAUUUCUGCCACUCAGGUAAAUUUCAGGCAGAGCAUGUACUCUGGAACCAGAGGGCCUGGGUUUAAAUCCCAGCUCUGGCGCCUAUUAGUUCUGAUCCCAGGGCAAGUGACAGUGUUUCAGUGCCUCUCUUUCCACAUCUAGUUGGAGGAAUAGUCAAUGGGUCAACAUUUGUAAAGUGUUUGGACCACUGCGGAUCAUGAAGUAGGUGCUAGGUGAAUGUUUUUUAAUGUAAACAUUGGAUUAUGGUUUUCAGCAUGAAAAGGAACAAAACUCCAUUCAGCUCCCAGCAAAUCCAACUAGAACUGAAGGUUUCCAGGGUGAGCAAAGAGGUAAUAGUCUCAGAUAACAUGGUAUGGUUCAUAUUUAAAACCCAUAAAACUCUACUCUCCGCUCCACCCUGUGGGGUGCCUGCCUGAGUCACUCAAUCUCAGAGCCACAAAUAUUUUCUGAGCACUACUGUAUUGGAUGCCUGGGAGGCAAAAAGGAGCCAACAGCCUUGGGUCUCCUGGAGAGGAUACAACUGUUCUUAGGAGGUUCAGGCAGCCCUGUGUUCCUCUUGAAAGUGUCGCAGAAAUGGCACAGAAUAGCAAUUUCAUGUUCAAGGAUUUGUCCUGCAGAAAGUCAUCUGGUGAAUAUGCAAUAAAGAUGGAGUAAUGCAGCGGCUUGAAGUAGGAUCUCAGUUCCCAGACCAGGGAUCAAACCUGGGCUACAGCAGUGAAAGCAUCAAAUCCUAACCACUGACCAACAGGGAACUCCCUGAAGAAAGGAUUUUCGUGGCAAAGAAAAGUCACUGGAGGGUCUUUAUCACUGAGCAACUCAGUUGUACUAAUUACUUUAGGCUUCAAGAGCCAUUGGAGGUUUUUGAACAAGGAAGAGACCUGAUUAGAAGGAACAAGCAGUAAUUUCGUAGUUUGUGACCACAGAGUAACUGGUCUCUAUGAUGUGACUCCUGGCUCUGUCACUAAUUAGCUAUAAAGCCAGUGACCAGUUACUCUGCUUCUCUGUGUUUCUACCAAAUGGAGAAGGUAGUGAUAACAGAUAACCCAUCUCCUACCAUUGUUGUUGAGGUCGAGUGAGUUAAUGUUUUUAGAGCACAUGGUAAGUGCUGAGAAUGUCUGUUACAUUUUAACAGUUUUAUGCCUUUGGAUUAAAAUCUUUGCAUUUCAUUUUCAAAUUUUUAUUACAAAGAACUAGCAUUACAUGACAAAUUCUUAACUAUUCUUUCUUCACACGUUCACAGGAUUAUAGAUUAUUAAUUUCAUUGGACAGAUAGAAGAAUUUAAGUUUUAAGGGGAGAGAGAGAGUCUGAGAAUCACAUUAGUGAAUCAUGAGUUGAAUCUGUGAGUUCUGAAUUCUAGUUCAGUGGUCCCUGCCCCACACCCAAGGUUAUCUCUUAGCUUCAAUUCUUAGAGCCUUGAGAAUAGGGAAAGUGGAGAGUGGAAGAAACUUUGGCAAUUUCACUGCUGUUUCCCUUAUGGCAAUUUCCCAUACUGCAAUAAAGGACAGCAAUAAAGAAAAAUCCAAACAGAGAAAAUUGGGCGAGUCGUCAUGGCUCAGUGGGUUAAGGAUCCAGAGUUGUCACUGCUGUGGCUCUAGUCACAGCUGUGACGUGGGUUCGAUCCCUGGCCUGGGCACUUGUGGGGAAUGGCCAAACCAAAAAGAGAGAGAGAGAGAAGAAAAACUAGUAGAACACCUGGAUGUUUGUAUAUAAAAUUAAAUGUAAAAUAUAAAUAUAGAUAUAAAUAUAUGCUGAAUUAUGCCACCUCCAAAUAAAAGUCGUAUGUUGAGAGUUCCCAGUGGGGCGCAACAGGCUCAGUGACGUCUCUGCAGCACCAAGAUGUAAGUUCAAUCCCUGGCAUAGUGAGUUAAAGGAUAUCGUGUUGCUGCAACUGCAGCUCGGAUCCCUCGCCCAGGAACUCCAUAUGCCACAGGGUGGCCAAAAAAAAAAAAAGAUAUGUUGAGGAUCUAACUCACAAUGUGACUGCAUUUGGAGAUGGAGCUUUUAGGAGGAAAAAUAAGGUUAAAUGAGUUCAUAAGGAUGAGGUCCUAAUCUGAUAGCAUUGCUGGCCUUAUAAGAAGAGGCAGUGCUCUCUCCCUGUCUUCACCAUACCAAGGAAAGACCAUGCAAAUACGCAAUAAGAAGGCAGCUGUCUGCAACCAAGAAGAGAGCUCUCACCAGGUUCCAGCCAGGCUGGCCACCCCAUCCCUGACUCCAGCCUCCAGAACCGUGAGAAAAUAAAUUCCUGUUGUUCAAACUACCCACUCUAUUGCCUUCUUCAUACUCAUACAGUCAUAGAGACAUUACAAUUACAUAUGGACACAUGCAAAAGUUAUUUCCCAGUGACAAAGUUUGGAAAACAUGGCCAUACUCCUAAAUCUGACAUGAAUUAAAAACCUCCAAACAAAGUGCUCAUCCAGUCCCCAGAAAUAACAGUCUCCUGGCCAAAUGCACCGUUGCUAUUGAUUCACGCUGAUGGCAUUGUUUUCCCGUCAGUUUAAAUAAGUGCAGUGCAUGGCUGAGAUUCCU